AGGGAUUGCCCCAUUGUGUGCUGAGGAGGGAGAACAGAGCGCUACAAGGAGAGGGCGGUGGGAGUCUCGGCCCUCCCCAGUGGGGAAUUGGAAAGGGAUUGCCGAGGAAAAGGGGCUGCCCCUCAGUGUCUCUUCCUGGAGGGGGUUGCUUGGCCCUGGGAGGGUUUCUUCCUGAGCAGGGACUGUGACUGACGGCUUCACUCACCCUUUUCCUGGCGGGUAUGAGACCAGGAAGAGGAGAUGUGCUUCCUAAGAAAAAGUGACUGGAUUUGUUCUGGGCUUCCUGUGGGAUUCUGGGAGAAAAAUGAAAAGGCUUUGCUGCUUUAUGAGGCUAAUGAAGUAUGACUGUGAAGGGGACUCCUAAUACUAGUGGAAAGCAAGGCUCACAAGCUUCAAAUGUUUUCUUGGAUGAUCUCCAAACCUUCUGCCCUCCUUUGGGCUACAGCUGAGGUUGGAGACCUCAGAGCUGUGAAGACUUCAGUGCAGCUGCUUCCAAGCAAAACCAGAGCCAUCACAAUGAAAAUAAAUAAAUAAACAAAUAGUGCUA